rnacentral:tRNA from 1 species
GGGUCACUAGCUCAGCUGGUCAGAGCAGGGGCCUCUUAAGCCCAAGGUCCUGGGUUCGAAUCCCAGGUGACCCACCA